rnacentral:misc_RNA from 1 species
GAUGAAGAACGUAGUAAAAUGCGAUACUUGGUGUGAAUUGCAGAAUCCCGUGAACCAUCGAGUUUUUGAACGCAAGUUGCGCCCGAAGCCUUUUGGCCGAGGGCACGUCUGCCUGGGCGUCACGCAUCGCGUCGCCCCCCACAACUCUCCGUAAAGGGGACUUGUGUUUUGGGGGCGGAUAUUGGUCUCCCGUGCUCAUGGCGUGGUUGGCCGAAAUAGGAGUCCCUCCGGUGGACGCACGAACUAGUGGUGGUCGUAAAAACCCUCGUCUUUUGUUUCGUGCCGUUAGUCGCGAGGGAAACUCUUUAAAAACCCAAAUGUGUCGUCUCUUGACGGCGCUUCGACCGCGACCCCAGGUCAGGCGGGACUACCCGCUGAGUUUAAGCAUAUCAAUAAGCGGAGGA